AGGAGAAUAAAAACAUGCAAUCCAUACACAUAGCAGCAGCUGCAAGUUCUUUUGUCUAUGAUGAUAUGAUUGCUACUUCUUAAUUUGUUUCUCUCUGUACUGCAGCACGAGGGACGUUGGACGGAUUGCAAGAAAAAAGAAGCUCAGUUCUACAGGCAGCCCCCGCCGCCCACACGGACUACUUCCUCCGGUCCUCAUCCAAGUAUGGGGCUCACAUCAGUCCAACUAUUCCUCCCUUAUCUGUCCGAGCACCUCCUGCCACGCUCCUUCACGUACGAGCUUUUGCCGGCACUGGUGCACGCUGCCACACGUUCAACGAGUGUCUUGGGACAAGUAGGAAGUAUUGUUGUUUCCGUUAAGUUCAGUAUUUAUUCUGUUUUUAGUACGUAAACAAACACACAGGAUAUUUAUAAGAGCAAAAAUUACAAAUGGAAAUCUAUAAGUUCAACUACAUAUUUUAAAACAAUUGAAAUACAAAAAUUAGAUCAGUUCAAUGAAAGAAAAAUAUCACUUCGAAAAUAUAUAUGCAGGAGGUUGGGAGCAAAAAAAAUCAUAAUUUUGCUCAGUUCAAAGAUUGGAAGCAAAAAAAUUGUAGCUAGUGGUUUUGAUGUGUCAAAAGAUGAAACAUUUGCUACUAAAAUUAAGUUUGCAUCAGAGAUAUAGCCAUUUUCUUCUAAAUAUUUUUGUGUGUAUGCUUGUAACACAAUCAGAUCAGAUCUCGAGAGACCAUAAGUUCAAGUUCACUAGUAUUUAUAAAUGUUGGUUGCGGUACUAGUAUUUACAAAUUUCUUAUAAUUUCCACAGGUCGGAGGCCGUACACAUUUCUUGUUUCUAUUGCUAUAAGUUCAAGUGAUCAAAUGCUAUAAGCUCGCAUAUUAUUCUCCAAUUAGUUCAAGUGAUAUGAACUUGUACAUUGGCUCAUCAAGGUGGUGUGCGUACCAUACAGAAACCUGGAGCAAUUUGGCAAAAAUUAUUUACAUCAGUUCAAACUCGAGGAUAUGACAAGUUUAGAUUUUUUUUUACAAAGUACUGAUCAGUACAACUUACAAAGUAGCUUCAAUCAUAAGUUCGAUUUCAUCUGUGUUUCCAUGUUAUUUGUGUAUAGUACAACGGGUAUUUGUAUUCUGUUCAUUUCAUCUACUUGCUGGUUGUAAGUCCAAUUACAUAAGAUUUUCCAUGUAGAGCCAUUCGCCCGAGGUAUCGGAAUAAUUCUAAUGUUUUUUGUGUUCAUUGGAUUUCCCGAAUGUUAGUGCAAGUAAUGCAUUCUGUUUUUGCCUGUUCACUCCAAGUGGGAGAGCAAAAGUAAGCACUGUCUGCUUAGAAGUUGUGUUUGAAACCCAUUUUUAAUAGUAAAACAAGUAAAUCAGUGUGGUAAUGCUUUAUUGUUAUAGUACUUAAGUGACUGAAAUUUUGACCAUGUGUUUAGAGUUAAGCAACUAUGUAAGUUGCAUGAUGUAUUGAUCUACUUGUCAUGCUGAAGUUCAUUGGCUUCUUAAAAUUUCAAAUAUAAACAAGCUGGUGGCCGCCCAUCUCUGCAUGUAUUUUAUUUGGGAUAGCCAAAUCCUGGCGCGCCCAGCGGCUGCUCGUGAACCCCGCCUCCAUCAGCUCCACUUCACCAGAGCCGUUAGUCCACAACUCCAUCAUGCUCGAGCUUACGCUCUAGAUCAUCUUCCACCAUGCUCCGGCCACGGCUCCCCACUGCCAACGCAAGAUCCCAACCACUCCUGAAAAAACUGUUGUUAUCUGGUUAGGAGUUCACAUUUGCUAAAUUCCGUAGCUCUCUGGUUCACCAUUGCUAAAUUUUGUAGCUAUCUGGUUAGUAGUUCACCUUUUAUAAAAUCUAUAGUUCUCUAGUUAGAUAAACAGUGGUUAUCUUUGCAGAAACAAUGGCAGUCUACAAUUUCUGUUAUUGGUAGUAGCAGUUCAAUAUAUAUUAGAAAGAUGAAAAAAGGAAACAGUGUUGUCUUGCAUGACCACAUGAGGUGUCACCACAAAAGCAGCAGACGAUGUUUGAGGCUGUUUUGUAGGCUGCCACUGUUCUACCUGUCUGAUAACAGCGGCGGCGAGACGAACAUCGUGCGCGCCCCUGUGUGACAUGAAGCGGAGGCAUCACUAUGGCCACGUAUAGAGUGUUGGGACUGCAGCAAUUCGCAAGGUCCAAAGUGUAGAGGAUGUGCUUGUGAGCUGUGAUGUUCUGAACUUGUGAUAUAUGUAUGCAUGCAUGCUUUGUUUUGUGAUGGAUCACAUAUAGAUCAAUUCUUUUUCUUCUA